AGAGUUUGAUCCUGGCUCAGAACGAACGCUGGCGGCGUGGAUAAGACAUGCAAGUCGAACGAUCACUGUUGAGUAGCAAUAUUUGGUAGUGAGAGUGGCGAAAGGGUGCGUAAUACGUGGGUAAUUUGCCGUAGAGUCUGGAAUAACUUGCCGAAAGGUAAGCUAAUACUGGAUGACAUUUCCGGGAGGCAUCUUCUGGAACUUAAAGUUGGGGACCGUAAGGCCUGACGCUCUUCGAUAAGCCCGCGGCCUAUCAGCUAGUUGGUGGGGUAACGGCUCACCAAGGCUAAGACGGGUAGCUGGUCUGAGAGGACGACCAGCCACACUGGAACUGAGACACGGUCCAGACACCUACGGGUGGCAGCAGUCGAGAAUUUUUCACAAUGGGCGAAAGCCUGAUGGAGCGACGCCGCGUGGGGGAUGAAUGGCUUCGGCCCGUAAACCCCUGUCAUUUGCGAUCAAACCUUACGAUCUAAUAAGUCGUGAGCUGAUAGUAGCGAAAGAGGAAGGGACGGCUAACUCUGUGCCAGCAGCCGCGGUAAUACAGAGGUCCCAAGCGUUGUUCGGAUUCACUGGGCGUAAAGGGUGCGUAGGCGGUCGGGUAAGUCUGAUGUGAAAGCUCGGAGCUCAACUCCGAAAUGGCAUCGGAAACUAUUCGGCUCGAGGAAUGGAGGGGAGACUGGAAUACUUGGUGUAGCAGUGAAAUGCGUAGAUAUCAAGUGGAACACCAGUGGCGAAGGCGAGUCUCUGGACAUUUCCUGACGCUGAGGCACGAAAGCCAGGGGAGCAAACGGGAUUAGAUACCCCGGUAGUCCUGGCCCUAAACGGUGCGCAUUUGCUGUAAGAGGAAUCGACCCCUCUUGUGGCGAAGCUAACGCGUUAAAUGCGCGCCUGGGAAGUACGGCCGCAAGGUU
rnacentral:rRNA from 1 species